CUCUCUCUCUCUCUCUCUCUCUCUCUCUCUCUCUCUCUCUCCCUCUCUCAUUGGUUGCCCUUAGACCCUAACCCAAAAAUUACUCUCUGUCAUUGAGCACAAGCACUCUUCCUUCUUCCUUUGCUCCUAUCUCUCUUCAUCUCACCCAAAAAAUACUUGCUCUCUAUCUCUCUCUCAAAGCAAAAUUUAGGAUUUCCAGUAUUUGCAUUUUAACACCCUAGAUAGAUUUUUGGAAGCGGACAACUAAAGCGUAGCAAAGAGCCAACAAGGUAAGAAUUUCUUUUUUCCUAGGAUGAAAAAGGCAGCAAAUUUGUUUCUCUGAUUUUUUUUAUUGAUUUUAGUUUUUGGUUCUGGCAUGGAAAAAGCAUCGUCUUUUUUGUGUAUAUUUAGUAUGAUUCUUGUAUGCCCUAAUUUUAUGGCUACUUGGGUUUUGAUGGAUAGUGGGAUUGAUGUUCUGGUUAUUACCUCUGGUCUCGGUGGAAAUGUUUCUGCUUUGAUCUAGAGAGAGAUCAUGCUUUGGGUCUUCACAAUGGUGAUGUGUGCUCUAAACAGUUGAAGCCACUACUAAUAUCCGUUUUGCUUGAUUUAUGACAAGUUGGAUGAAUCUGUAACUUGUCCAUGGACCUCAAGAAUUUAUUUGGUGCUGAAAUUUGUGAGAUUAAAAAAGUGAUCAUAAUGUUGUUGAUUUUGUAUCAGCAUCUAGCACCAAAUAUCAGCAAAAAAAAUUCAUUUUAAGGUUGUUUGUCCAUCUGAUUUUUGAUCAUGAUCUGACCUGAGAUGAUUUUUUAAUCCCUUGUGAGUUUAUUUGAACAAUUAGGAAUAAGGUUUGAUGAAGAUAUUGAUUAAACAAAGAUCACAUAUGCUGCUGUUUUUGUAGCAGAGUGAAACCCUUGGUAAUGAAAUUCAACUGGAUAGUUCAGACGAACGUUUGAUGAAUUCAUUCACUUGUGAUAUAAAAUCAGCUUGAUCAAAGAAUUGAAUCAAUUAUUCAUUGUUUAGAUCAUGAAGUUUAUCAUAUAAUAAGCUGAUUUCUAGUUUGAGCAACAUAGACAUUGUGUUCUACAUUGUUGAUCAAAUUUUGAUCAAAUUGCUUAGGAAUCUUAAGAGAUCUUUUCUAGAUGAUGUUUUGAUUAAAUUGCUUAGGAAUCUUUAGAGAUCUUUUCUAGAUGAUGCUUUGAUCAUAUUAUUGAUUAUUUAAGGAAGUACCUAUGGUUGAUCACUACUAAUCAUAGUUUUAAAAAGCAGACCGCCCAACGCCUAGGGGGUGAUAUUUUUCCCAAGAAAUGACAUUAAAAAUGAUAUGAUAAAGUAUGAGAAUUCCACCCUAGUAAAUAAGUUCGAGGAUAGUUAUAGGUAAAACUAAUGGUAGGAAUUUGUUGGAGAAAUGUUUCUUCCAAGUGAUCCAAAGAGUAGAAAUGUAUCCUACAGGUUGCCUCCAUAUGCUGCCCAAACUCCAAACAGCAGAAAUUUAUUUUACAGGUGAUACUUUUCCCAAGAAAUAUAGUUCACAAGGAAUAGAUUUUUCUAGACAAUCUUUUUCCAGGGAUCCAAAUGAAGAGAAACCAUAAAGACAUAGAGAUAAUGUCCAAAAAUAUUUUCUAUCUUUUCUUAGAUUAUCUCUAUGCUCAACUAACAUAGAGAUAAAAUUGGAACAAUAUAGAUUAUCUCUAUGUUUCCAUGGUUUCUCAUAGUUUACUUGAAAUGUAAUCUGAUUGAAAAUAAAGCUUUUCUUUUUUUUGGUUGGGGGGGGGGGGGGGUGCAACUAUGGAUUUUGCCUGUUUUUUUUGGAUGCUUGCAAAACCUUAGAAGAUCUUGACUUGCUCAAGGUCAAACUAAGGUAUUAUCUCUUUGCAUAUCAUAUUGGCCACUUCUUUAGUGUUUUCUUGAGUAUGAUUUAUUACUUUCUGGAAACUUUUAACCAAUGAUAAAUUUCUAAAUGGUUUCACUGGUAAAAAAUAUGUUAUUUCAACUCUCUCAAGCUCUCUUGUUAUGGCUCCCUUUGUAAUUCUCUCUAUAAUUUUUGAAGAUUGGUGACUAGGAAAUGGCUUUGAUUUAUGGUAAUAUUUAUAGGUUUCAUUGAUUUAGGCUUCAAGGAGUAAAUAAAUUAUGCUUUUUUGGGUUUUGUUUACUGCAUUUUUUGUGGUUUGUGGUGUUAAGGAUGCUUGUGGCAAUUGUGAAGAGUUGUGUAAAUCUUUGGUGGAGUUCGUUGCAAUCUUAUUUGUUAGAUUGUUUGACAUAUGUUAUAUUGUAUUUAAGUUUAGUUGGGAUAACACUGAGAUGAUGAUGAUGAUGUUGUAUUUAAAAGAUAGGAGGGAUGGGGUGGGGUGGGGUGGGUUGAGGGAGGGGGGGGGGUUAAGGAUGCUUACAGAGAGAAUGAGCGUGUGGGAACUAAAAAGUUUAAGGGCUUCAAGGCUUGGUAAUUGUAUGUAAUUAAGGUAUUUGAAAAGGAUAAUUUUGGAAAAAAAUAUUGAAGAUAUAGGAGGGGAGCAAUAACAGGGGCUUGGUCAAUUGCAGUUUUUAAGAUCCGGUGAUUUAUAAUUUGGAUCGCUAAUUUAUAUGAGAAUCGGUCAUGAAUAAUAGGGGCUUGGUCAAUUGCAGCUU
rnacentral:lncRNA from 1 species